rnacentral:rRNA from 1 species
GACGAACCUGACAAACGUUAUUCGGAAUCACUGGGCUUUAAGGGCGCGUAGGCUGUGCAGAAAGUUGGGUGUGAAAUCCCUCGGCUCAACCGAGGAACUGCGCCCAAAACUACUGUGCUUGAGUGAGAUAGAGGUGAGCGGAACUUAGGGUGGAGCGGUGAAAUGCGUUGAUAUCCUAAGGUACACCGGUGGCGAAAGCGGCUCACUGGGUCUCAACUGACGCUGAGGCACGAAAGCUAGGGUAGCGAACGGG